rnacentral:miRNA from 1 species
UAAGCGCUUCAUCCUUAUAGAC